rnacentral:rRNA from 1 species
ACUAAGCGUACACGGUGGAUGCCCUGGCAGUCAGAGGCGAUGAAGGACGUGCUAAUCUGCGAAAAGCGCCGGCGAGGUGAUAUGAACCCUUGACCCGGCGAUGUCCGAAUGGGGAAACCCAGUGCAAUCCGUUGCACUAUCGUUAACUGAAUACAUAGGUUAACGAGGCGAACCGGGGGAACUGAAACAUCUAAGUACCCCGAGGAAAAGAAAUCAACCGAGAUUCCCCCAGUAGCGGCGAGCGAACGGGGAGCAGCCCGGAGUCUGAAUCAGCUUGUGUGUUAGUGGAACGGUCUGGAAAGUCCGACGGUACAGGGUGAUAGUCCCGUACACGAAAGCACACUUGCUGUGAACUCGAAGAGUAGGGCGGGACACGUGGUAUCCUGUCUGAAUAUGGGGGGACCAUCCUCCAAGGCUAAAUACUCCUGACUGACCGAUAGUGAACCAGUACCGUGAGGGAAAGGCGAAAAGAACCCCGGCGAGGGGAGUGAAAAAGAACCUGAAACCGUGUACGUACAAGCAGUGGGAGCCUCUUUAUGGGGUGACUGCGUACCUUUUGUAUAAUGGGUCAGCGACUUAUAUUCUGUAGCAAGGUUAACCGUAUAGGGGAGCCGAAGGGAAACCGAGUCUUAACUGGGCGUUAAGUUGCAGGGUAUAGACCCGAAACCCGGUGAUCUAGCCAUGGGCAGGUUGAAGGUUGGGUAACACUAACUGGAGGACCGAACCGACUAAUGUUGAAAAAUUAGCGGAUGACCUGUGGCUGGGGGUGAAAGGCCAAUCAAACCGGGAGAUAGCUGGUUCUCCCCGAAAGCUAUUUAGGUAGCGCCUCGUGAACUCAUCUUCGGGGGUAGAGCACUGUUUCGGCUAGGGGGCCAUCCCGGCUUACCAACCCGAUGCAAACUACGAAUACCGAAGAAUGUUAUCACGGGAGACACACGGCGGGUGCUAACGUCCGUCGUGAAGAGGGAAACAACCCAGACCGCCAGCUAAGGUCCCAAAGUCAUGGUUAAGUGGGAAACGAUGUGGGAAGGCACAGACAGCCAGGAUGUUGGCUUAGAAGCAGCCAUCAUUUAAAGAAAGCGUAAUAGCUCACUGGUCGAGUCGGCCUGCGCGGAAGAUGUAACGGGGCUAAACCAUGCACCGAAGCUGCGGCAGCGACGCUUAUGCGUUGUUGGGUAGGGGAGCGUUCUGUAAGCCGUUGAAGGUGUGCUGUGAGGCAUGCUGGAGGUAUCAGAAGUGCGAAUGCUGACAUAAGUAACGAUAAAGCGGGUGAAAAGCCCGCUCGCCGGAAGACCAAGGGUUCCUGUCCAACGUUAAUCGGGGCAGGGUGAGUCGACCCCUAAGGCGAGGCCGAAAGGCGUAGUCGAUGGGAAACAGGUUAAUAUUCCUGUACUUGGUGUUACUGCGAAGGGGGGACGGAGAAGGCUAUGUCAGCCGGGCGACGGUUGUCCCGGUUUAAGCAUGUAGGCGGAGGUUCCAGGUAAAUCCGGUACCUUAUUAACGCUGAGGUGUGAUGACGAGGCACUACGGUGCUGAAGUGAUAAAUGCCCUGCUUCCAGGAAAAGCCUCUAAGCAUCAGGUAACACGAAAUCGUACCCCAAACCGACACAGGUGGUCAGGUAGAGAAUACCAAGGCGCUUGAGAGAACUCGGGUGAAGGAACUAGGCAAAAUGGUGCCGUAACUUCGGGAGAAGGCACGCUGAUGUGUAGGUGAAGUCCCUGCGGAUGGAGCUGAAAUCAGUCGAAGAUACCAGCUGGCUGCAACUGUUUAUUAAAAACACAGCACUGUGCAAACACGAAAGUGGACGUAUACGGUGUGACGCCUGCCCGGUGCCGGAAGGUUAAUUGAUGGGGUUAGCGGCAACGCGAAGCUCUUGAUCGAAGCCCCGGUAAACGGCGGCCGUAACUAUAACGGUCCUAAGGUAGCGAAAUUCCUUGUCGGGUAAGUUCCGACCUGCACGAAUGGCGUAAUGAUGGCCAGGCUGUCUCCACCCGAGACUCAGUGAAAUUGAACUCGCUGUGAAGAUGCAGUGUACCCGCGGCAAGACGGAAAGACCCCGUGAACCUUUACUAUAGCUUGACACUGAACACUGGUCCUUGAUGUGUAGGAUAGGUGGGAGGCUUUGAAGCGUGGACGCCAGUCUGCGUGGAGCCAACCUUGAAAUACCACCCUUUAAUGGCUGGUGUUCUAACGUAGACCCGUAAUCCGGGUUGCGGACAGUGUCUGGUGGGUAGUUUGACUGGGGCGGUCUCCUCCCAAAGAGUAACGGAGGAGCACGAAGGUUGGCUAAUCCUGGUCGGACAUCAGGAGGUUAGUGCAAUGGCAUAAGCCAGCUUGACUGCGAGCGUGACGGCGCGAGCAGGUGCGAAAGCAGGUCAUAGUGAUCCGGUGGUUCUGAAUGGAAGGGCCAUCGCUCAACGGAUAAAAGGUACUCCGGGGAUAACAGGCUGAUACCGCCCAAGAGUUCAUAUCGACGGCGGUGUUUGGCACCUCGAUGUCGGCUCAUCACAUCCUGGGGCUGAAGUAGGUCCCAAGGGUAUGGCUGUUCGCCAUUUAAAGUGGUACGCGAGCUGGGUUUAGAACGUCGUGAGACAGUUCGGUCCCUAUCUGCCGUGGGCGCUGGAGAAUUGAGGGGGGCUGCUCCUAGUACGAGAGGACCGGAGUGGACGCAUCACUGGUGUUCGGGUUGUCAUGCCAAUGGCACUGCCCGGUAGCUAAAUGCGGAAGAGAUAAGUGCUGAAAGCAUCUAAGCACGAAACUUGCCCCGAGAUGAGUUCUCCCUGAGACUUUAAGUCUCCUGAAGGAACGUUGAAGACGACGACGUUGAUAGGUCGGGUGUGUAAGCGCAGCGAUGCGUUGAGCUAACCGAUACUAAUGAACCGUGAGGCUUAACC